AAGCACCACGACUCUUGCGGUGUCUGGUGCGCUUCCGUCGGUCCUUGAAAAUCCGAGGGACACCGACUGAUUUUCGCCUCGGCUCGUACCCAUAACCGCAGCCGGUCUCCAAUGUGAAUAGCCUCUGGCCGAUAGAACAAUGUAGGUAAGCCCCGACGAGUAAGAGGGUCGCUGCGGUGAGCGUUGAAGCGUAGGGCGCGAGCCCGCGUGGAGCCGCCGUGGGUGCAGAUCUUGGUG